rnacentral:rRNA from 1 species
CCUACGGGUGGCUGCAGUGGGGAAUAUUGGACAAUGGGGGGAACCCUGAUCCAGCGACGCCGCGUGAGUGAAGAAGUAUUUCGGUAUGUAAAGCUCUAGCAGCAGGGAAGAAAAUGACGGUACCUGCCUAAGAAGCCCCGGCUACCUCCGUCCCAGCAGCCGCGGUAAUACGUAGGGGGAAAGCGUGAUCCGGAUUUACUGGGUGUAAAGGGAGCGUAGACGGUGCAGCAAGUCUGAUGGGAAAGGUCGGGGCCCAACCCCGGGACUGCAUGGGAAACUGUUGAACUGGAGUACAGGAGAGGUAAGCGGAAGUCCUAGUGUAGCGGUGAAAUGCGUAGAUAUUAGGAGGAACACCAGUGGCGAAGGCGGCUUACUGGACUGUAACUGACGUUGAGGCUCGAAAGCGUGGGGAGCAAACAGGAUUAGAUACCCGUGUAGUC